UACGUAGGGUGCAAGCGUUAAUCGGAAUUACUGGGCGUAAAGCGUGCGCAGGCGGUUUUGUAUGUCAGAUGUGAAAUCCCCGGGCUUAACCUGGGAACUGCGUUUGAAACUACAAGGCUAGAGUGUGGCAGAGGGGGGUGGAAUUCCACGUGUAGCAGUGAAAUGCGUAGAGAUCGGGAGGAACACCUGUGGCGAAGGCGGCUCGCUGGGCCGGUCCUGACGCUGAGACGCGAAGGCGUGGGGAGCGAACGGG
rnacentral:rRNA from 1 species